AGUGAACGCUGGCGGCAUGCCUAAUACAUGCAAGUCGAGCGAACACACAGUGAGCUUUCGCCUUUGCCGUUAGCGACGGACGGGUGGGUGACACGUACGUCACCUACCUCUAAUUCGGGGAUGACUUCGGGAAACCGCUUACACUAACAGCUCAUACUACGAACGGCAUGGUUCAAUAGUGCAAGAUAGCUUUGCUGUCUCUUUUAGCUGAACCCGUGUUGUAUUAGCUAGUUGGUAAGGUAACGGCCUACCAAGGCAACGAUCCGUAGCCGAGCUGAGAGGGUGAUCAGCCACACUGGAACUGAGACACGGUCCAGACUCCUACGGGAGGCAGCAGUGGGGAAUCUUCGACAAUGGGCGCAAGCCUGAUCCAGCAACGCCGCGUGGGUGAAGAAGGUCUUCGGAUCGUAAAACCCUGUUAUUAGGGAAGAACAAACGCGGAAGAAACUCUGCCUGUUUUGACGGUACCUAAUCAGUAAGCCACGGCUAACUUCGUG
rnacentral:rRNA from 1 species